rnacentral:rRNA from 1 species
CCUACGGGGGACAGCAGUGAGGAAUAGUGGUCAAUGGGCGAGAGCCUGAACCAGCCAAGUCGCGUGAAGGAUGAAGGAUCUAUGGUUUGUAAACUUCUGUUAUAGGGGAAUAAAGUGAGGAACGUGUGCCUUGUUGUAUGGACCAUAUGAAUAAGCAUCGGCUAACUCCGGGCCAGCAGCCGCGGUAAUACGGAGGAUGCGAGCGUUAUCCGGAUUGAUUGGGGUUAAAGGGUGCGUAGGUGGUUAAUUAAGUCAGCGGUGAAAGUUUGUGGCUCAACCAUAAAAGUGCCGUUGAAACGGGUUGACUUGAGUAUAUUUGAGUUAGGCGGACUGCGUGUUGUAGCGGUG